rnacentral:rRNA from 1 species
UGAAUACGAGAUGCUACGGCGUCGAAGCAGUGUAUGUCAGACUUCCAAGAAAAGCUCGCAAUGUCAUAAAUAAAGAAUGCCUGUACCAUAACCGACACAGGUGGGUAGGUAGAGUAUACUAAGGGGCGCGAGUUAACUCUCUCUAAGGAACUCGGCAAAAUAACUCCGUAACUUCGGGAGAAGGAGUGCCUUCUUGAAGAAGGUUGCAAUAACAAGAUCCAAGCAACUGUUUAUCAAAAACACAGGUCUCCGCUAAGUCGAAAGACGAUGUAUGGGGGCUGACGCCUGCCCAGUGCCAGAAGGUUAAAGAAGCUGGUUAGCAAUAGCGAAGCUGGUGACUGAAGCCCUGGUGAACGGCGGCCGUAACUAUAACGGUCCUAAGGUAGCGAAAUUCCUUGUCGGGUAAGUUCCGACCCGCACGAAAGGCGUAAUGAUUUGGAUACUGUCUCGGAGAGGGACUCGGUGAAAUAGACUUGUCUGUGAAGAUGCGGACUACCUGCACCAGGACAGAAAGACCCUAUGAAGCUUUACUGUAACUUGAAAUUGAAAUUGGACUUUAUUUGCGCAGUAUAGGUGGAAGGCGUUGAGAUUACUCUUGCGGGAUUAGUGGAGCCAUCAGUGAGAUACCACUCCUAUAAUGUUAGAUUUCUAACUUUGGAUCAUAAUCUGGUCAAAGAACAGUUUCAGGGGCAGUUUGACUGGGGCUCGCCUCCCAAAUGGUAACGGAGGCGUACAAAGGUUUCCUCUGAACGGGUAGAAGUCGUAUCUAGAGUGUAAAGGCAUAAGGAAGCUUGACUGUGAGACCUACAAGUCGAGCAGGGACGAAAGUCGGUCUUAGUGAUAUGACGGUGCUGAGUGGAAAGGCCGUCACUCAACGGAUAAAAGUUACUCUAAGGAUAACAGGCUGAUCUCCCCCAAGAGUUCACAUCGACGGGGAGGUUUGGCACCUCGAUGUCGGCUCAUCGCAUCCUGGGGCGGUAGUACGUCCCAAGGGUUGGGCUGUUCGCCCAUGAAAGCGGUACGCGAGCUGGGUUCAGAACGUCGUGAGACAGUUCGGUCCAUAUCCGGUGUAGGCGUUAGAAUAUUGAGAGGAGCCUUCUUUAGUACGAGAGGACCGAGAAGGACAUACCUCUGGUGUACCAGUUAUCGUGCCAACGGUAAACGCUGGGUAGCUAUGUAUGGAGAGGAUAACCGCUGAAAGCAUCUAAGUGGGAAGCCCACCUCAAGAUGAGUAUUCUCAUC